rnacentral:rRNA from 1 species
UACGUAGGGGGCAAGCGUUGUCCGGAAUCAUUGGGCGUAAAGCGCGUGUAGGCGGCCCGAUAAGUCCGCUGUGAAAGUCCAGGGCUCAACCCUGGGAUGCCGGUGGAUACUGUCGGGCUCGAGUCCGGAAGAGGAGUGUGGAAUUCCUGGUGUGAGCGGUGAAAUGCGCAGAUAUCAGGAGGAACACCAAUGGCGGAAGGGCAGCACUCUGGGACGUGACUGACGCUGAGACGCGAAAGCGUGGGGAGCAAACAGG